UGAAAAACCUUGAAUUGUUGGAUCUUUCCUCAAACAAGUUUGUUGGGGAGAUUCCUCAGCAAUUGACAAAUUUGAUGUUUCUUGAGGUACUAAACCUUUCGGACAACCAACUAGCAGGACCAAUUCCUCAAGGGAGGCAGUUUUAUACAUUUGAAAAUGAUUCAUAUAGUGGGAACUUGGCUUUAUGUGGAUUGCCUUUAUCAAAGAAAUGUAAGGAACUACUGCCACUGCCACCUCCACCAACACUCCAACAAGAUGAGAAUUCAGACAAGUCAAGCGAAUUUAACUGGCAAGUUGUAGUGCUGGGGUAUGGAUGCGGAUUUUUAUUUGGAAUGAUUAUGGGAUAUCUUAUGUUUGUAACUCGAAGACCCGAAUGGCUUAUGAAAAUUGUUGAAGGAAAACAUCAUAAGAAGGUGAAAAGGUCUAAGAAGGGUGCCCGCUGAUGCAGUGAAAGAAGAAAUCAAUAAAGGCAAAUGGCAUUAUUCGGUUUGUUCCAUUAAGUAGCACAAUAAAGCAAUGGUAUCCACUUGAAGGGGUGUUUCACCUAGCUACUGCAUUUGAGUGGGUGAGCAUCUGGGUAACAGCCAUACAGGACCACUUCAAAAGCUUUACCCUUUUUGCGGUAUUGAAUUCUAAAGCUUUGUUAAGUCGUUUAGUUUUCUUGAAGUACUGAGUUAAAUAAGAGUUUCAUGUCAUGGUUUUUUGUUGUUUUCUAUCUCACAUCAUGUAGCAACCUUUAGAGAUUUGUAUUUUUGUAUGUAAUUUUUUUUUAAAUUGGAUUUCUGUCACAGAAGACUAGGCCAUGCCUAGGUUUUAACUUUGAAAUGCAAUCUUACAAUGAUAGAAUUGUUGUCUACUAGAUAGAGAAUUCAUAUUGAAAAUAAUAUUUUAUGUUACUCUUUGAGCAGUUUUUUA